rnacentral:rRNA from 1 species
CAGUAGCCGCGGGAAUACGUAGGGUCCGAGCGUUGUCCGGAAUUACUGGGCGUAAAGCGCGCGUAGGUGGUUCGCCAAGUUGGAUGUGAAAUCCCCGGGCUCAACCUGGGAACUGCAUCCAAAACUGGCGAGCUAGAGUAUGGUAGAGGGUGGUGGAAUUUCCUGUGUAGCGGUGAAAUGCGUAGAUAUAGGAAGGAACAUCAGUGGCGAAGGCGACCACCUGGACUGAUACUGACACUGAGGUGCGAAAGCGUGGGGAGCAAACAGGAUUAGAUACCCCUGUAGUCCCUGUCUCUUAUAC